GCAGGUCGGAGUAAAAUGAGUCCUUCCCAAGGAUUAGAUGAGGGUUCGAUUCCCUCUGACCGCA
rnacentral:tRNA from 1 species